rnacentral:rRNA from 1 species
UACGAUAGACACAGGGAUUGCCUUAGUAACGGCGAGUGAAGCGGCAACAGCUCAAAUUUGAAAUCCGGCUCCUUCGGGGCCCGAGUUGUAAUUUGGAGAGGAUGCUUCGGCUGCGACCCCGGUCUAAGUUCCUUGGAACAGGACGUCACAGAGGGUGAGAACCCCGUAUGUGGCCAGGUGUCAACGCCAUGUGAAGCUCCUUCGACGAGUCGAGUUGUUUGGGAAUGCAGCUCUAAAUGGGAGGUAUAUUUCUUCUAAGGCUAAAUACCGGCGAGAGACCGAUAGCGCACAAGUAGAGUGAUCGAAAGAUGAAAAGCACUUUGGAAAGAGAGUUAAAAAGUACGUGAAAUUGUUGAAAGGGAAGCGCUUGCAACCAGAUUUGGACGUAGUUGCUCAGCCGGGCCUCAUGGCCGGCGCACUCUUCUACGUCCAGGCCAGCAUCGGUUCGGGCGGCCAGAUAAAGGCCGUGGGAAUGUAGCUCCCCCCGGGGAGUGUUAUAGCCCACGGUGGAAUGUGGCCAGCCCGGACCGAGGUCCGCGCUUCGGCUAGGAUGCUGGCGUAAUGGUUGUAAGCGGCCCGUCUUGAAACACGGACCAAGGAGUCUAACAUCUAUGCGAGUGUUUGGGUGCGAAACCCAUGCGCGUAAUGAAAGUGAACGGAGGUGGGAGCCCUUACGGGCGCACCAUCGACCGAUCCUGAUGUCUUCGGAUGGAUUUGAGUAAGAGCAUAGCUGUUGGGACCCGAAAGAUGGUGAACUAUUCCUGAAUAGGGUGAAGCCAGAGGAAACUCUGGUGGAGGCUCGCAGCGGUUCUGACGUGCAAAUCGAUCGUCAAAUUUGGGUAUAGGGGCGAAAGACUAAUCGAACCAUUUAGUAGCUGGUUCCUGCCGAAGUUUCCUCAGGAUAGCAGUAACGAUUUCAGUUUUAUGAGGUAAAGCGAAUGAUAAAAAGCCUGGGGGGUGGAACAACCUUCCCCUAUUUUCAACUUUAAUAUUGUAGAAGGCCUUGUUAUUAA